rnacentral:lncRNA from 1 species
CGGUGUCCGGUAAGUACUAUUAGGGAUUAUACGUAUAGACGAAGUUGAUGAUUCUUGCAUAAAGUUAGUGUCUUUUAGCUUAUACUGCUGGUUUUGGAUUGUUUCCUGACUUUUCGUGAACUGGAUUUUUGUUUCUUAGUAAAAUAAGAAUUUGAACACUGGAAAAUUUUAGAAUAUGGACUACACUUUAUGCUAUGCAAGGGUAAAUGUCGUUUUGUAAAGUUUGUGUCUUUUAAUUGGUUUUGGAUUGUUUCUUGGAUUUUAUGUACUGGGUUUCUGUUUCUUAGUUGUUGGCUUUUGAACAUUGAAAUUGUGUGGUAUUAUACUGGAAAAUUCUUAGAAUAUGGUCUACAGCUUGUACUAUGCAACGGUAAAUUUUGUUUCGUGCAGUUUGUGUCUUGUAAUGAUUUUCAGCUCCCACUGAUAGUUUUGGAUUGUUUUUUACUUUUUGUGAACUGGGUUUUUGUUUCUUAGUAGAAUAAGCAUUUAAACAUUGAGAGUUUUGUGAUAUUAUUAUACUGGAAAAUUCUUAGAAUAUGGACUACAGAUUAUGCUAUGCAAUGGCAUAUCUUGUUUCAUAGCUUCCAUUGAUGGUUUUGGGUUGUCUCCCGAUUUUUCUGUACUGGGUUUCUGAUAGCAGUUGGCAUUUGAAAUUGAAAGAAUGUAUUACAAUAGUUGAAAGUUCUUUGUAUAUGGCUACAACGUAUGUCAUGCUCCAUUAGUUGUUGUUUCUUAGAGUUUGUAUCUUUUAAUUGGUUUUGAGCUUCUUUGACGGUGUUGGUUUGUUUCGUCUUUCUACAAUUACUUCGAACCUUGAUUUUCCCUGCAUCUGAUGGAAGAAUAAUUGCAAGAACUCUAUUUCGCAACAACAGCAAUAACCAGUUUUGCUUCUUUGGAUUGUGAAGUAUUAGAAGAAAAUAGAUUACCAAUAAAUAUCAACAUAUAAUAAAAUUUCUUUCUUACUUGACCUUUGUUUCCUAUAAAUUAUCAGCUCUUCACUUCCAUGUGUGUUUCCCUCUUAUAUUUCUUAAUUGGUGCUCUAAAAAUGUCUUGUUUUCUUACAUCCCAAACCAGCACUUUUUAUUUGCCAUUAGCUCUUUUUUGGGCUUAUAUGUGGUCAUCUUCAUAAAACAGUCAUUUGUUACGGGGACACCGUGAAUGAACUCUAUUUCUGGUCAAUUGGCGCUUCAAACAUGUUUAAAUACUGCUUCCUUCUAUAUGCGUAGAGGUUAUUCCUUCAAACAAUAGCCUUAUGUUGGAUAAUAUGUUCAGGUUCUUUUGCCUUCCAGUGAAUAUAUGUGCGGGUUAUUCAGCCAUUGCCAUUGUUUCAAAUUUAUCAUCAAGAAGGAUAGGUGCAAAAAGGCGAGGCAGCCAGUAUAGCAUAGUGGCCUCCAGGAGUCCAGGUGACCAGUUAAGUAUAUUAGCCAGCUGUCACUUGAGAGUGUUAGCUUGCCACAGGAAGUACGAUGAUUGCUGCUUUUCAGCUCCAUUAAACUGCAUAUUCUUCUUAGCUGGCUCAGAGCACGGGCCAGCGAUAGCUAGUAUAUAUAACUCGGUGUGUUUUUAUUUUCAAUUGAAUAUCAACCUGCUGCCUCUCCCAAGACCUGAAAAGCCAC